GACGAACGCUGGCGGCGUGCUUAACACAUGCAAGUCGAACGGAAAGGCCCUGCGUUUGUGGGGUGCUCGAGUGGCGAACGGGUGAGUAACACGUGAGCAACCUGCCCUAGACUUUGGGAUAAGUUCAGGAAACUGGGGCUAAUACCGGAUAGGAGAUCCUGCUGCAUGGUGGGGGUUGGAAAGUUUCGGCGGUUGGGGAUGGACUCGCGGCUUAUCAGCUUGUUGGUGGGGUAGUGGCUUACCAAGGCUUUGACGGGUAGCCGGCCUGAGAGGGUGACCGGCCACAAUGGGACUGAGAGACGGCCCAGACUCCUACGGGAGGCAGCAGUGGGGAAUAUUGCACAAUGGGCGGAAGCCUGAUGCAGCGACGCCGCGUGCGGGAUGACGGCCUUCGGGUUGUAAACCGCUUUCGGCUGUGACGAAGCGUUAGUGACGGUACCGGGAGAAGAAGCACCGGCUAACUACGUG
rnacentral:rRNA from 1 species